rnacentral:lncRNA from 1 species
GUUUUUUACUGUUUGUGUGGUGGUUAGGGAGAGUAUCCAGUUAUCCCAAUACCCAAGAGUCCAUAAUUUCCCUGUUGAUCUGAUACCACUUCUGUAGACUUAAAUUUGACUAAUUGGGUUUGUAAUAAGUUGACAUUUAAAGUAUGACUAAUCUCAGGUAAAAAUGUAAAUUAGUCAAAUUCCAUAUUUUGUUCUCCAUCUUCCCCUCUGCAUACACUCC